rnacentral:rRNA from 1 species
GUAGUGAUAUGCUUGUUUCAAAGAUUAAGCCAUGCAUGUCUAAGUAUAAGCGAACUUAUACAGUGAAACUGCGGAUGGCUCAUUAAAACAGUUUGAAUUUAUUUGAUGAAUGUAUGAGAAUACUACUUGGAUAACCGUAGUAAUUCUAGAGCUAAUACAUGCAACGACGCCCGACCGUUUCACUACGGAAGGGCUGUAUUUAUUGGAUACCAAAACCAUCCUUCCCUCGGGAAGUUUUGUUUGAUGAUUCACAAUAACUGAUCGGAUCGCCACUGUGGUGGCGACAGGUCAUUCAACAUUCUGCCCUAUCAGCUUUCGAUGGUUGUGUAGUGGACAACCAUGGCCAUAACGGGUAACGGAGAAUCAGGGUUCGAUUCCGGAGAAGGAGCUUGAGAAUUGGCUACUACAUCUAAGGAAGGCAGCAGGCGCGCGAAUUACCCAAUCCCGAUUCGGGGAGGUAGUGACAAAAAAUAACAAUACCGGGCCUUUUUGGGCUUGGUAAUUGGAAUGAGGGAGAGUUAAACGGACCAUCGAGUAUCCAUUGGAGGGCAAGUCUGGUGCCAGCAGCUGCGGUAAUACCAGCUCCAAUAGCGUAUAUUAAAGUUGUUGCAGUUAAAAGCUCGUAGUUGGACUUGUGUGCGCUGUCCGCGGGUGGCCUGCGCCCAAAAGGGCGUUUCGGUUCGGCCCCGGUGGCGCCUUGAAAUCUGCAGCUGGGGGGACGUUGGCCUUAACUGGUCGGCGACCGCACGCCGGCUGCUCGGUUACUGUGAGAAAAUUAGAGUGUUCAAGGCAGGCAUUGGGUGCAAUUGAAUACAUUAGCAUGGAAUAAUAAAAUAUGGCUCCUGCCGUAUUUUGUUGGUUUUGACUGGUGGGAGUAAUGAUUGAUAGGGACGGUUGGGGGUGCUAGUAUUGAGCGGCCAGAGGUGAAAUUCAUGGAUUCGCUCAAGACUAACUUAUGCGAAAGCAUUCACCAAGGACGUCCUCUUUAAUCAAGAACGAAAGUUGGGGGAUCGAAGACGAUCAGAUACCGUCGUAGUCUCAACCAUAAACUAUGUCGACUUGGGAUCGGCGGUAGUUUUUUCAUUAAGACACUGUCGGGACCACGGGAGAAAUCAAAGUGUCUGGACUCUGGGGGAAGUAUGGUCGCAAGGCUGAAACUUGAAGGAAUUGACGGAAGGGCACCACCAGGAGUGGAGCCUGCGGCUUAAUUUGACCCAACACGGGGAAACUUACCAGGUCCAGAGAUGUAGAGGAUUGACAGAUUGAAGCUCUUUCUUGAUCACUUCGGUGGUGGUGCAUGGCCGUUCUUAGUUGGCGAAGUGAUUUGUCUGGUUAAUUCCGUUAACGAACGAGACCUCAGCCUGCUAGUGUAGUCGGCUGGAUUGU